rnacentral:tRNA from 1 species
ACGGGUAUAGUGUAAGGGUUUAGCACAAUGGCUUUCGGUGCCAUUCUGGGGCUUCCAACCCCUCAGAACCAGUUCGAGUCUGGUUACCCGUG